UACCAGCACCCCGAGUGGUCGGGACGUUUAUUGGGCCUAAAGCAUCCGUAGCCGGUUCUACAAGUCUUCCGUUAAAUCCAACUGCUUAACAGGUGGGCUGCGGAAGAUACUAUAGAGCUAGGAGGCGGGAGAGGCAAGCGGUACUCGAUGGGUAGGGGUAAAAUCCGUUGAUCCAUUGAAGACCACCAGUGGCGAAGGCGGGUCUCUGGGCCGUUACUGACGCUGAGGAGCGAAAGCGUGGGGAGCGAACAGG
rnacentral:rRNA from 1 species